UCCAUUUAGGGAAGUACACUGAUGAUGAAGAUGAGGCGUCUCGAAAAUGGGUGUGCUGAGUCUGUACGGAUCUCGCUGAACAUGAUGAACAUCAAAGGAUUGAGCGCGGUGGAGAGAGAGUAUAUACGGAAGCAUCACACGCACGAGAUUAACGCUAAUCAAUGCACUUCGUUCCUCAUCAAGCAUAUUAAGGCGCCCGUCCAUCUUGUUUGGUCUCUGGUCAGGAGGUUUGAUCAACCACAGAAGUACAAACCUUUUGUCAGCCGUUGCAUUGUGCAGGGGAAUCUUGAAAUCAGCAGUAUGAGGGAAGUUGAUGUUAAGUCUGGUCUCCCUGCUACCACCAGCACCGAGAGAUUGGAGCUUCUUGAUGAUAAUGAACGCAUACGUAGUGUAAGAAUCGUCGGUGGAGACCACAGACUCAGAAACUACUCUUCCGUUGCAUCUGUUCAUCCUGAGGUCAUUGAUGGGAGACCUGGGACAGUGGUGAUUGAAUCGUUUGUGGUGGAUGUGCCAGAAGGGAACACACAAGACGAAACAUGCUACUUUGUCGAAGCACUGAUCAGGUGUAAUAUGAAAUCACUGGCUGAUGUUUCGGAGAGGCUUGCUGUGCAAGACAGAACCGAACCCAUCAAUCGUGCCUGCCACGGUGCUUAGAUGCUAUUUUCACCAAGGAUGAAGCUUUCUUCAAGGCUUUAGGAAAAUAUGUGACCAUGGAGCCUGCUGUCAGGUGAUUUCUCGAGAGGUUGAAAAGGAAGCAGUACAGGAAGAGCUGCAGGAUGCCUAGUGGGCUACCCACCAAAUUUGGAGACUGUAGAUACAAGAGUUUGUUAUUUACGUGAGUCGUUUUCAUUACAAAGAGACCUUAUAAUCACACUAACCGCAAGAAAAAGAUCGUGGCUCAAUAGUCCAUAUGCCAUCCAAAGCGAACUUGCUAGAAAUGAGAAAAGCGACAGCUAUAUCAGAAAUCUUCAAAGGAGAAUAUGAAUUUUCCAAUUGACAAAAGUACUCACCACAACCACCAGUGGAGAACCAUACAUUGCUACCCAUGCUACCAGUCCUACACUUCCAACAAACGCCUUGCGAUGAUGGUGAU